CCUACGGGAGGCAGCAGUAGGGAAUCUUCCGCAAUGGGCGAAAGCCUGACGGAGCAACGCCGCGUGAGUGAUGAAGGUCUUCGGAUCGUAAAACUCUGUUAUCAGGGAAGAACAAAUGUGUAAGUAACUGUGCACAUCUUGACGGUACCUGAUCAGAAAGCCACGGCUAACUACGUGCCAGCAGCCGCGGUAAUACGUAGGUGGCAAGCGUUAUCCGGAAUUAUUGGGCGUAAAGCGCGCGUAGGCGGUUUUUUAAGUCUGAUGUGAAUGCCCACGGCUCAACCGUGGAGGGUCAUUGGAAACUGGAAAACUUGAGUGCAGAAGAGGAAAGUGGAAUUCCAUGUGUAGCGGUGAAAUGCGCAGAGAUAUGGAGGAACACCAGUGGCGAAGGCGACUUUCUGGUCUGUAACUGACGCUGAUGUGCGAAAGCGUGGGGAUCAAACAGGAUUAGAUACCCUGGUAGUCCACGCCGUAAACGAUGAGUGCUAAGUGUUAGGGGGUUUCCGCCCCUUAGUGCUGCNGCACGCAUAAGACACNCCGCCGNGGGAGGACGACCGCGAGUAGAACGUACAAANAGAGUUAGAGGACGUGAGAGNGCGAGGACGACACGAGGGGAGGAGG
rnacentral:rRNA from 1 species